ACUUAUUUACAAUGGCUGCCACU
rnacentral:siRNA from 1 species